GCAGUCGUAGCCGAGUGGUUAAGGCGAUGAACUGGAAAUCUAGUGGGGUCUCCCCGCGCAGGUUCGAAUCCUGUCGACUGCG
rnacentral:tRNA from 1 species